GGCUGGAUAGCUCAGUUGGUUGAGCACCGGAACGUCAAUCCGGAGGUCGCAGGUUCAAACCCCGCUUUAGUCA
rnacentral:tRNA from 1 species